AUGCACCGAAGGUUAAGGAAGCCAGGAUUGAAAUCCCUCUAUGAGAUUUGUGUUCGCACGCAGCAGACUCUGGAAAGACACAUCAAGAUGGAUAGAAAAGAAAAGGUGGAAUUGAUGACUGAGCUGAAUCUGAUUCAUAAUCACACUCAUCAAAUUCUUCUGCAUGAUAAGAAUGCAAGGAAUUGCUCAUGGAACUUGUUGAGAAAGAACUAUUCUCACAAGGAUUUAGCUAAAAAGGGCCUCCUCAAGGAGUAUGACUACCUGGACUUGCUUGCUGUUCCGCACAUCCGAAGACAAACUCCAGUGCUCCCAUAA
rnacentral:rRNA from 1 species